UUUUGGAUGGUAUGAAAAUUGCCCCUUAGAGGUGCUAGUCUUUUGCCAGUGUCAGGAAAGGAUCCUUAGAUGACUAACCUAGAUAAGGUGCAGAAUCCUGGGCUUUUGGAUACCAAGUCUGGUUCUGCUUCAGUAAGUCAAACAGUGCUAGGCCUGUGGCUCAGGAAGCAAGAAGUUAUGUUUUGCUGGAAAUAAACAGAUUUCUCUGAGUGGCAAAUGAAACUUGUUUGUCACAGCAGAGGGCAGAGCUGAAGGUCGGAGCAGAAACUCUGGUUGCUGUGACACAUUUUCAUGAGCUGGAUCAUCUCUCUGUGAUUGACAAAGCUGACACUUGCAAGAAAGAGAGUGAAGGUGAAGGGGCAGCAGAUUUCCUCAUGGUUCUGGGGAGAGGGGGGAAGGUAAAAGAGGGACUGAUAGUAAGGCCUCUAAGCAGGAAUUUAACAUCAUAAAAAAAUAAGUAGCUGGCUAAGUGGCAGAGCCCAAGGUUGAGCCCUUAGAGGGGCAGGUAGAGGAACAGAUGCUUUCCAAUGGACUUUAAUCAUCUGCUGCCCUGGUGGCUUUCUCUACCACCUGCUAAGGUUCAGGGCCUUUGUUUUUUAAUAGCAAUGCAAGGGAAUUAAAGAGGUGCAUGGUACCUGGGAAUGAAGGAGUGGUACUUUUGCCAUUAAAACAAAUAUAUGAAGAAGAUAUAUUGCAGCCAGGUUCAUUAUAAGAUGAAACAAUCCAGACUAAAAUCUUGCAGCAGAGUGAAAUGAAUUUCCAGUGUAUCUUAAAAUCAUCAAACGCUGUCUUGAAAGGUCGAUUUCUUUGUGUUUCACAGUGAGACUUGCAUUUCUCCUUCUGGUGAUACAUGUACCUGCCACAAAUUUCUCUCCAUGUUUUUCGCACAGCCUCAGUCCUUUCUAUAUGGGAAAUAGA